rnacentral:snRNA from 1 species
GGAUGUGAAAGCAAUCUUGCUCUGACACCUGUCACUCAUUGAUUAUCAGGGUUCAUUGGCUGAUCUGAUUGUUAGGUAACUGGUCCCUUCCCCCCUCACUAUUCCAUGGGUAUCCCACCCCCCAAAACUACAUGCUUGGGUGAAAAAGACAAGGACUAUUAUUCAAUCAAAGAUAUAUGAGAAGCUAUACUCUCCUGCUAGAAUCACCAAAUAAGCUCUCAAAAAAUAAAAAAAGAAAGAAAACAGGUAGCAAAACACACAUAUGAUCAUGCACACAUGCACAUACACAUACACACACAAUUUAGUUGUUUGGGU